CCUACGGGGGGCUGCAGUGGGGAAUAUUGGACAAUGGGCGAAAGCCUGAUCCAGCCAUGCCGCGUGUGUGAAGAAGGCCUUCGGGUUGUAAAGCACUUUCAGUGGGGAAGAAAGCCUUGGGGCUAAUACCCUCGAGGAAGGACAUCACCCACAGAAGAAGCACCGGCUAACUCCGUGCCAGCAGCCGCGGUAAUACGGAGGGUGCGAGCGUUAAUCGGAAUUACUGGGCGUAAAGCGCGCGUAGGCGGUCUGAUAAGCCGGUUGUGAAAGCCCCGGGCUCAACCUGGGAACGGCAUCCGGAACUGUCAGGCUAGAGUGCAGGUGAGGAAGGUAGAAUUCCCGGUGUAGCGGUGAAAUGCGUAGAGAUCGGGAGGAAUACCAGUGGCGAAGGCGGCCUUCUGGACUGACACUGACGCUGAGGUGCGAAAGCGUGGGUAGCAAACAGGAUUAGAUACCCUAGUAGUC
rnacentral:rRNA from 1 species